rnacentral:tRNA from 2 species
GCUCCCGUAGCUCAGGUGGAUAGAGCAACUGCCUUCUAAGCAGUAGGUCGCAGGUUCGAGUCCUGCCGGGAGUG